GACGAACGCUGGCGGCGUGCUUAACACAUGCAAGUCGAACGCUGAAGCCCUUUCGGGGGUGGAUGAGUGGCGAACGGGUGAGUAACACGUGGGUAAUCUGCCCUGUACUUCGGGAUAAGCCCUGGAAACGGGGUCUAAUACCGGAUAGGACCUGUCCUCGCAUGGGGGUGGGUGGAAAGUUCCGGCGGUAUGGGAUGAGCCCGCGGCCUAUCAGCUUGUGGGUGGGGUGAUGGCCUACCAAGGCGACGACGGGUAGCCGGCCUGAGAGGGUGACCGGUCACACUGAGACUGAGACACGGCCCAGACUCCUACGGGAGGCAGCAGUGGGGAAUCUUGCGCAAUGGGCGAAAGCCUGACGCAGCAACGCCGCGUGGGGGAUGACGGCCUUCGGGUUGUAAACCUCUUUCGGCAUCGACGAAGGCAUCUCUGUGUGGGGUGUUGACGGUAGGUGUAGAAGAAGCACCGGCUAACUACGUGCCAGCAGCCGCCGUAA
rnacentral:rRNA from 1 species